rnacentral:rRNA from 1 species
AUUGAACGCUGGCGGCAUGCCUAACACAUGCAAGUCGAACGGGGCAGCAAUGCCUAGUGGCGGACGGGUGAGGAAUACGUAGGAAUCUGCCCUUAAGUGGGGGAUAACCAGGGGAAACCCUGACUAAUACCGCAUGAUCUCUUCGGAGCAAAGAGGGGGACCGCAAGGCCUCUCGCUUCUGGAUGAGCCUACGUCUGAUUAGCUAGUUGGUAGGGUAAAGGCCUACCAAGGCGACGAUCAGUAACUGGUCUGAGAGGAUGAUCAGUCACACCGGAACUGAGACACGGUCCGGGCUCCUACGGGAGGCAGCAGUGGGGAAUAUUGGUCAAUGGGCGCAAGCCUGAUCCAGCAAUGCCGCGUGUGUGAAGAAGGCCUUCGGGUUGUAAAGCACUUUAGCCUGGAAAGAAAAAACUUUGGUUAACACCCAAAGUCUUGACGGUACCAGGAGAAUAAGCACCGGCUAACUCUGUGCCAGCCGCCGCGGUAACAC